GAGCUUGCUCUCGGGUGACGAGUGGCGGACGGGUGAGUAAUGUCUGGGAAACUGCCUGAUGGAGGGGGAUAACUACUGGAAACGGUAGCUAAUACCGCAUAACGUCGCAAGACCAAAGAGGGGGACCUUCGGGCCUCUUGCCAUCAGAUGUGCCCAGAUGGGAUUAGCUUGUUGGUGAGGUAACGGCUCACCAAGGCGACGAUCCCUAGCUGGUCUGAGAGGAUGACCAGCCACACUGGAACUGAGACACGGUCCAGACUCCUACGGGAGGCAGCAGUGGGGAAUAUUGCACAAUGGGCGCAAGCCUGAUGCAGCCAUGCCGCGUGUAUGAAGAAGGCCUUCGGGUUGUAAAGUACUUUCAGCGGGGAGG
rnacentral:rRNA from 1 species